GAGUGAACGCUGGCGGUAGGCCUAACACAUGCAAGUCGAACGGCAGCACAGUAAGAGCUUGCUCUUACGGGUGGCGAGUGGCGGACGGGUGAGGAAUACAUCGGAAUCUACUUUUUCGUGGGGGAUAACGUAGGGAAACUUACGCUAAUACCGCAUACGACCUACGGGUGAAAGCAGGGGAUCUUCGGACCUUGCGCGAUUGAAUGAGCCGAUGUCGGAUUAGCUAGUUGGCGGGGUAAAGGCCCACCAAGGCGACGAUCCGUAGCUGGUCUGAGAGGAUGAUCAGCCACACUGGAACUGAGACACGGUCCAGACUCCUACGGGAGGCAGCAGUGGGGAAUAUUGGACAAUGGGCGCAAGCCUGAUCCAGCCAUACCGCGUGGGUGAAGAAGGCCUUCGGGUUGUAAAGCCCUUUUGUUGGGAAAGAAGAGCAGCAGGUUAAUACCCCGCUGUUCUGACGGUACCCAAAGAAUAAGCACCGGCUAACUUCGUG
rnacentral:rRNA from 1 species